UUCAGUCUCCCCUGUUUUCUCAGCGGCAGCCAUGUAAGCUGCAGUCUCGUCGCAAAACUAAGACCGUCGCCAAAACUACGACGGUUAUGCUGAGUUAUUCUGCCGAGUUUUUCGAGGAAGGAAAGAGAAGAAGCCCUUGUUUGCAGCCCUUCUGACAAUCAUGUGGCCACAUGCAUCUCUGCAUGGCUGGCAGGCAUCUCAGUUUGGAUAUCGGCCCACCACCUCAAGCUCAACCUCGUCAAGACGGAGCUGCUCUUCCUCCCGGAGAAGGCCUGCCCACUCCAUGACCUUGACAACUCCACAGUGUCCCCCUCCCAGAGUGCAAAGAACCUUGGCGUGACCCUGGACAACACCCUGUAGUUCUCUGGAACAUCAAAGCAGUGACUCGCUCCUGCAGGUUCAUGCUCUACAACAUCCGUAGAGAAGGACCCUACCUCACACAGGAAUUCCUAAUCCAGGCACUUGUCAUCUCCCAUCUGGAGUACUGCAACUCGCUGUUGGCUGGGCUCCCCGCUUGUGCCAUCAAACCCCUGCAAUUUAUACAGAAUGUUGCAGCCUGCCUGGUGUUCAACCCCGCACACUUCACUGGUUUCCAGUCAAGGCUCUCAUCCACUACAAGACCAUGGUACUUUACUACGGAGCAGCAAGAGGAACUGCCCCUCCCUACCUUCAGGCUAUGCUCAAACCCUACACCCCAUCCCGAGCACUCCAUUCUACCACCUCUGGUCUCUUGUCUCCCGCUCAGCCCAGUCUAAGCUCUUCUCUGUCCUUGCACCCCAAUGGUGUUACCAGCUUCCCCCUGAAGCUAGGACAGCAGAGUCCCUGCCCAUCUUCCAAAAACAUCUGAAACCCUACCUCUUCAAAGAGUACCUUAAAUAAUCCCACAGAAAAUGGAUGGCCGCUGUUUAUUUUAUUUUCACUAUUAUUUAUUUUUUACAUUUUUUUCUAUUUUACCUUUAUUUAUACAGGUUUUUUCUCAUUGAGAUAAUAUCUCUUUUCCAAGAGAGACCUGGUCCAAUUCUCACGACAUCCACCGAAGGUGUUUCCUAUCCCUGUUCGGGUGGCGCUCGGCGGUCGUCGUUGACGGUCUACUAGCUGCCACCGAUCCUUUUUCCUUUUCAUUUGGUUAUGUCUGUUUUGUGUUUCACCUGGUUUCAUUUUGGUUAAUUAGGGGGGGUAUUUAUCUCGACAUUCUCUUUGGGUUUUUAUGCGGGAUUGUUUUCGUUUGACUGUCAGUUAGUUUUGGGUUGGAUUUUCUUUAGUUCAUUUUUAACAGGUGGUUUUUCCCUGGACUGUGUCUGAGUGGGGUUUUGUGGCUACUGUUGUAGUCCGGUGACCUGUUAUUUUGAGCUUGUUUAAUAAAACGCCCUUUUCCUUCGGA